rnacentral:rRNA from 1 species
ACGAACGCUGGCGGCGUGCUUAACACUUGCCAGUCGCACGGAAAGGCCCUGCUUUUGUGGGGUGCUCGAGUGGCGAACGGGUGAGUAACACGUGAGUAACCUGCCCUUGACUUUGGGAUAACUUCAGGAAACUGGGGCUAAUACCGGAUAGGAGCUCCUGCUGCAUGGUGGGGGUUGGAAAGUUUCGGCGGUUGGGGAUGGACUCGCGGCUUAUCAGCUUGUUGGUGGGGUAGUGGCUUACCAAGGCUUUGACGGGUAGCCGGCCUGAGAGGGUGACCGGCCACAUUGGGACUGAGAUACGGCCCAGACUCCUACGGGAGGCAGCAGUGGGGAAUAUUGCACAAUGGGCGGAAGCCUGAUGCAGCAACGCCGCGUGCGGGAUGACGGCCUUCGGGUUGUAAACCGCUUUCGCCUGUGACGAAGCGUGAGUGACGGUAAUGGGUAAAGAAGCACCGGCUAACUACGUG